rnacentral:misc_RNA from 1 species
GAUGAAGAACGUAGCGAACGUGCGAAACGUAAUGUGAAUUGCAGAAUUCAGUGAAUCAUCGAAUCUUUGAACGCAUCUUGCGCUCCUUGGUAUUCCGAGGAGCAUGCCUGUUUGAGUGUCGUGAAUACUCUCAACUUCAACCCCUUUUUCGGAAAGGGAGGAAGGUUGGACUUGGGUGUUUGUUGAAGUGCGAGCUUCGACUCAUCCUAAAUGCAUUAGCGAUCUGCCUCGAUCACACACAAUGUGAUAAUUAAAACUAAAGCAUUGUUUAAUGGUCAAGUCGAGACUGCUUCUAACUGUCGCAAGACAAUAACGUGCAUACAUUUGUGCAUGUCAUUUGACCUCAAAUCAGGUAGGACUACCCGCUGAACUUAAGCAUAUCAAUAAGCGGAGGA